rnacentral:rRNA from 1 species
GACAGAGGCCUCGAGCGUUAGGCGGAAUCACUGGGCUUAAAGCGUGUGUAGGCGGGCCCGUAAGUGUCUUGUGAAAUCCCACGGCUCAACCGUGGAACUGCUGGGCAUACUGCGGGUCUUGGGCCAACUAGGGGCAGCCGGAACAAGCGGUGGAGCGGUGAAAUGCGUAGAUAUCAUUUGGAACGCCAAUGGUGAAAACAGGUAGCUGGGGCUGUGCUGACGCUGAGACACGAAAGCCAGGGGAGCAAACGGG